rnacentral:rRNA from 1 species
UACGGUAGGGUGCGAGCGUUAAUCGGAAUUACUGGGCGUAAAGCGUGCGCAGGCGGUUCGUUGUGUCGGCGGUGAAAGCCCCGGGCUCAACCUGGGAAUGGCCGUUGAAACUGGCGAACGGAGUGUGGCAGGAGGGGGGUGGAAUUCCGCGUGUAGCAGUGAAAUGCGUAGAGAUGCGGAGGAACACCGAUGGCGAAGGCAGGUCACUGGGCCGCAACUGACGCUGAGGAGCGGAAAGCAUGGGGAGCGAACAGG